rnacentral:rRNA from 1 species
AUGAACGCUGUCGGCGUGCUUAACACAUGCAAGUCGAACGAGAAAUCCUCUGCUUGCAGGGGAGAGUAAAGUGGCGCACGGGUGAGUAUCGCUGGGUAAUUUACCCUUGAAUUCAGGAUAACACUUCGAAGGGGGUGCUAAUACUGGGUAACAUCCUGAUGGUUUCGGCCAUAAGGAUCAAAGAUAGCCUCUACAAGUGAAAGCUCACNGCUCAGGGUGGGCCCGCGUACCAUUAGCUNGUUGGUGCGGGUACGGAGCCACCAAGGCAGACGAUCGGUUAGCUGGUCUGAGAGGAUGAUCAGCCACACUGGCACACUGAAACACGGUCCAGACUCCUACGGGAGGCAGCAGUGAGGAAUUUUGGCAAUGGGCGAAACCCUGAACCAGCCGCCCGCGUGAGUGAAGAAGGCCUUUCGGGUCGUAAAGCUUUGUCAAGGGGGAAGAAANUGGGAGAUGGUGUACUGUUUUCUAUUGACGGUACCUCUGAAGGAAGCACCGGCUAACUCCGUGCCAGCAGCCGCGGUAAUACAGGGGGGUGCAAGCGUUAUUCGGAUUUAUUGGGCGUAAAGAGCGCGUAGCCGGCUUUAUCAAGUCAGAUGUGACAGCCUGGCCUCA